GGACUCGAGCGUGUGCACAUGGAAUUGGACGAAGUAUCCAAAGUCGGAAACGAAGCUAAGUUUGGGCGAGCACUCCAUAUCCAGUGUGCAGGUUUCGAGCAUGUGGUCGGGAAGCGUACAGGGGAGGCACAUGGCACGGCUUGGCGCAUUUCUCUUUAGUUUUAUCAAAAGAAGGUUUUGGCCCUUAAUCGGAUUUUGUAGUAGCUUGUUUAUUUACUUUUUAUUUAUU